rnacentral:rRNA from 1 species
AUGGAGACCGGGGGCAGCGGCGGCGGCGAUGGCGGCGGGAGACGGCCCGGGGACGACCUCCACGGGCUCAACUUCGGCCAGAAGAUCUACUUCGAGCAGGAAGUGGCUGGGUCCUCCUCCUCGGGUGGCAGGAAGGGCAAGGGCCCCGCCCCCGCCCGAGCAGGAGGUGGAGGUGGAGGGUCAGGAGCCUCCACCCCCGUGGCCGGCGGCAACGCCUCGCAGCCGAGGUGCCAGGUGGAGGGGUGCGGCGUGGAUCUGAGCGGCGGCAAGACCUACUACUGCCGCCACAAGGUGUGCUUGGAGCACUCCAAGGCGCCGCUCGUCGUCGUCGCCGGCAUCGAGCAGCGCUUCUGCCAGCAGUGCAGCAGGUUCCACCAGCUACCUGAAUUUGAUCAAGGAAAACGAAGCUGCCGCCGACGCCUCGCCGGUCAUAACGAGCGCCGGAGGAAGCCGCCGCCCGGGCCUAUGUCUACACGCUAUGGCCGGCUUGCUGCGUCCUUCAACGAAGAUCCAGGCAGGCUCAGAAGCUUUCUGCUGGAUUUCUCGUACCCGAGGGCCCCGGCCGGCGUGAGGGACCCGUGGCCGGCCGUUCAGCCCGGCGACCACCGCAUGCCUGGCACCACCCACUGGCAGGGCAGCCAUCAUGAACACCACCCUCACCGCAGUGCAGUUGCGGGAUACGGCGACCACCACGCGUACAACGGCCAGGGGAGCAGCUCGGGGGGAGGCGGCGCGCCGAUGAUCCCGGGCGGCUUCGAGCUCCCCUCGGACGAAUGUAUGGCGGGUGUCGCCGCCGACUCCAGCUGUGCUCUCUCUCUUCUGUCAACUCAGCCAUGGGAUAGUAGUGCCCACAGCUCCAGCCACAACCGGUCCCCGGCGAUGUCGACGACCAGCGCCUUCCAGGGCAGCCCGGUGGCGCCCUCCGUCAUGGCCAGCAACUACAUGGCGGCAAGCAGCAGCGGCUCCUGGGGCAGCCCCCGGGGCGCCAGGAGCAUGCAGCACCACCACCAUCACAUGCAGCAUGACACGGUCAUGAGCGAGGUCCAUCCGAGCUCGGUUCACCACGGCCAGUUCGGCGAGCUCGAGCUCGCGCUGCAGCAGGGAAGGGCCGCGCCGAACCCGCCGCACGCCGAGCACGGGUCCGGCGGGGCCUUCAGCCACUCCAGCAACGCGAUGAACUGGUCUCUGUAG